CUUCCAGACUCCUACGGGAGGCAGCAGUGGGGAAUAUUGCACAAUGGGGGAAACCCUGAUGCAGCAACGCCGCGUGAGUGAAGAAGUAUUUCGGUAUGUAAAGCUCUAUCAGCAGGGAAGAAAAUGACGGUACCUGAGUAAGAAGCCCCGGCUAACUACGUGCCAGCAGCCGCGGUAAUACGUAGGGGGCAAGCGUUAUCCGGAUUUACUGGGUGUAAAGGGAGCGUAGACGGCGAUACAAGUCUGAAGUGAAAGCCCGGGGCUCAACCCCGGGACUGCUUUGGAAACUGUGUUGCUGGAGUGCUGGAGAGGCAAGCGGAAUUUCUAGUGUAGCGGUGAAAUGCGUAGAUAUUAGGAGGAACACCAGUGGCGAAGGCGGCCUGCUGGACAGUAACUGACGUUGAGGCUCGAAAGCGUGGGGAGCAAACAGGAUUAGAUACCCUCGUAC
rnacentral:rRNA from 1 species